GAUGAACGCUGGCGGCGUGCCUAAUACAUGCAAGUCGAGCGAACAGAUGAGAAGCUUGCUUCUCUGAUGUUAGCGGCGGACGGGUGAGUAACACGCGGGUAACCUACCUAUAAGACUGGGAUAACUCCGGGAAACCGGGGCUAAUACCGGAUAAUAUUUUGAAACGCAUGGUUCAAUAGUGAAAGACGGUUUCGGCUGUCACUUAUAGAUGGACCCGCGCCGUAUUAGCUAGUUGGUAAGGUAACGGCUUACCAAGGCGACGAUACGUAGCCGACCUGAGAGGGUGAUCGGCCACACUGGAACUGAGACACGGUCCAGACUCCUACGGGAGGCAGCAGUAGGGAAUCUUCCGCAAUGGGCGAAAGCCUGACGGAGCAACGCCGCGUGAGUGAUGAAGGUCUUCGGAUCGUAAAACUCUGCUGUUAGGGAAGAACAAAUUUGUUAGUAACUGAACAAGUCUUGACGGUACCUAACCAGAAAGCCACGGCUAACUACGUGCCAGCCGCCGCGGUAA
rnacentral:rRNA from 1 species